AAAAUAAUUCAAGUGACAUAAAAAUUCCAUGUUGUUUGAAGUAUAAAAGGCAGUAUUGCACUACCAAUGAUACACAGUUUAUUAAACCAGUAACAAUGAAGAUAAUAUUGUGCAUCGCUCUCGCUGUAGUCGUACUACAGAUCACCAACGUUUAUGGGCAAGACCAAGAUAGUUCACAAGGGUCAAAAGGACAAACGAAACAUCAGGGACAACGUCCGGAGCAUUCAUAUUCCCAAGGACCACCCCCACAUGCUAAAAAUAAUCAAGAGCAACGGUCACAGAAUCGAAGUUCACAAGAACAAGCAUCAUCUCAACAAGGUUCUCAGGGACAACAACAGUCACAAGACCCAUCUAAAUAGCGUCAAAAUCCCCAGUGACAACAUCCUUAAGUGAUGUUAAAUAAAUACAAUUAAAUACAACUGUUGUGAGAUUCCCAACAACAACGAUUACUUUCACUACUAAG